AUCCAGUUGACGAGUCCAAAACAGGACGAAAAGUGCAUCCUGAAU
rfam:Schistosoma margrebowiei strain Zambia genome assembly, scaffold: SMRZ_contig0003003